ACAAAGAUAGGGUGGCCAACCGUACUGAUUUGUUUGCCCAGGACUGUCCCAGUUUUAGUAUUGAAAGUCCCACCUUCCAGGAAACCCCGGUCCCGAGCAAACCAGGCCGGUUGGUCGCCCUACUUGCCAAUCUCGCCUGUUGACAGCAAAGCCAGAGACAGGAGAGCCACACCCCCGCGCUUUGCUCCAGCAACAGGGAACUGCCUGUUUCCCUGCUGAGUUUAACCUCCUUCCCUUUACCCACAGGGCCGCCCUUCCCCUUCCCAGCCCCCUAACUUACCUGUCGCCCUGUCAUCCUCCAGGCAUCACUCCCCGUCCAAGGCCUUCCGUCACUCCUCUGGCGCAGGUCUUCAUUCUGCAUCAUCGUAGUCGAUUUUAUCUUGGGCACCAUAAAAUUCUACUUCUUCCCGCAGUAGCAGGCUGAUGUCACCCACAGAACAUAAUGGAUUCUAGGAACAGGCCCACAAGAGGAAAAGUGGGCAAGUACAAAUAUAGGAUGUUUGUUCUGAGAAAACUAAAAAUACUUUGUUUAAAUUGGAUCACAUUUUACCAGUUAAGUGAACCUUACCAGAUGACAAUAUUGAUAUGUGGGAUGACACAAGGAAGAUACAACAACCUAAGAAUGGAUAGCUUGUGCUAGAAAAUCAAUUACAAAAUCUUAUAUGGCUUUUCCUCCCUGCCAGACGUCAUUCCGGCAUGUUGCGUAUAUUAAUUCAUGUAAUGCCACCACAAUCCAUUAUUAACUGUAUUUUACAGAUGAAAAAUCUGGUGCUGUGAGGAGCUUGCCCAGUGGCACUCAUGCAGCUGGCAAUGGCCAGAGCCAGGAUUGGUGCCAAACACUUGACUCCAGAAUCCCUGCUCUUGACCACUAUUCUACCCACUCCAUACCUAAAUCCCAGUUCGUUAUGUAAAAGAGUUGUGACAUAGUAUGUUUUCUCUCAUAAUACUUUAAAGUUAAAUCAAAUUCAUAUUGUCACCCUAAUUAGUACCUUUUUUCACCUCAAAUCAGACUCAGUUAAGAUAAUCUUUGUAUUACAAAUAGCAUUUCAGUCUCAACUACCAUAUCACAUGUAAUCACUAUCAUAUUAGCUGUUAAGCAGCUUUGAUUGAUGCCUUUUCCCUGUAUUUUGGUGUAAAAUACACCUGAGGUAUUAAAAAGGUUUGACUUUUGUGUUCAGAUGCAUAGCAUUGGUUAUAAAACACAAAAAUAAUGAUGACUCAUUUAAGACAAUCACUGAAGCCCAUCAUCAUUGUUGCAGGGACAAUUUAACGUUACCAUCUUCUUCAUGAGCUAUGUCUAAAAUGACACAAACCCCACAAAUUUAAUUUAGUGUUCUCAUUCGAGAAGAUAAGUUGAAAAAUUAAAACAAUAAUUAUCAUCUGAUCCUGCAAUCCUAAUCCCACUUCUGUGUAUAUAUCCCAAAGAACUGAAAGCAGAGUCCUCAAAGAGAUUUGCACACCUGUGUUCACAGCAGCAUUAUCUACAACAGCCAAGAAGUGGAAGCAACACAAAUGUCUACCAACAGAUCAAUGGAUAAACAAAAAAAUGUGAUAUAGACACAAAAUGGAGUAUUAUUCAGCCCUGAAAAGGAAGAAAACCCUGUCAUGUGCUGCAACAUGGAUGAACCUUGAGGACCUUGUGCUAAAUACCAUAUGACUCCAUUUAUAUGAGGUAUCUAAAGUAGUAAAAUUCACAGAAACAGAAAGAAUAAUGGUGGUUGCCAGGCCUUGGGAGGAGAAGGAAAUGGGGAAGGAGUUGUUGGUAAAUGGGUUACAGUUUCAGUUUUACAAGAUGAAAAGCUCUGGAGAUCUGUUGAAUAUACUUAACACUAGUAAACUGCUUUAAAAAAUCAAGAUGGUAAAAUGUAUAUUUUAUGUUUUUACCAUAAUUAAAAAUAAUAUAAUUUUUUAAAUUAAUGACUUCUAGUUUUACCUCAAUGAUAAAAAGUGUCUAGUAAAGUUUGAGGCCUUGAAUGUAGGUGUCAGAAUGUGAAAAAUAUGAACCUGUGACAUACAAAACUUACCAAAAAAGUCUUAGAGUUUGGGAUGGUGGAUGGUUGAUUAUUUAAAAUAUAACUUAAUGAUUAUGAUUAUAUGAUAUAUGUCAUAAUUUGUGAAUGUUAGUCUACCCAUAAAAUGAAAGUUUGUUGUCUUCCAAAUGAUGCUAAAAUAGAUUACUAGUCCUGAAAAUGUGGUUUCUUAUGGGUUCCUCUAGUCAUUUCAAUAGGAUAAAUGUGCUGAUAACACCCCAUUAAUUAAAGUCAAUGGCUAUCCCAUAAGCACCAAUGCCACAGUAAGCAACCAAAGCCAUACCAUGCAUAUAUAUCCAGGCCAAAUGUCUCACUCAGGCCAGAAAGAGACCAGCUAAGAAGUCAAGGAUGGCUGGGAUGGGGUAACAAGUGGGGAGAAGGAAUACAAUAAAAUUAGGAGGUGGGUUGAGGUCAUGCUAGAUAGGACCUGGAAUUUUAUGUUGAAUAUUUGAACUAUUUUAUAGAAACUAAGGAAAGAAUAAAGUUUUUUUAUUAAGGAAAGGACAUAAUCAUAUCUGUGUAUAAGAUGAAUAACUGGUAGUAUGAUGGGAAAUGGACUCUGGUGGAGAAGAGCUAAGAGCAGGGAGAGCUGUGAUGAGGCUACUUCAACAGCCUGGACAAGACAAAAUGGAAGGAUGAAAAUGGACUAAACAUUUAGUGCUCGGACAACUGGAUAGCCACAUGCAGAAGAAUAGAUUUGAACCUCUACCUCACACCAUAUACAAAUCAUUAAUUCUAAAUGAAUCAGACCUAAAUAUAAGAGCUGAAACUAUAAAACUCUUAGAGGAAAACAGAGUUGUAAGUCUCCUGACCCAGGAUUAGAAACAGUUUCUUAGAUAUGCACAUAAAGCACAAGUAACCAAAGGAAAAGAUAUACAAACUGUUUUUCAACACAACUAAAAACUUUUAUGCAUCCAAGGACACUAUCAAGAAAGUGAAAAGAUUCACAAAAUGGGAGAAAAUAUUUACAAAUCAUAUAUUUGAUAAGGGUCUACUAUCCAGAAUAUAUAAAGAAUCCUUACAACUCAACAAUAAAAUUUAAAAUCAUCAAAUUUUUAAAUGGAAAAAAACUUGAACAUACAUUUUCUCAAGGAAGAUAUGCAAAUGAUCAAUAUGCCUGAAAAGAUGCUUAAUGUCAUUUAUCAUUAGGGAAAUGCAAAUCAAAACUAUAACAAGAUACUACUUCACACACACUGGGAUGGCUAUAAUCAAAGACAAUAACAAAUGUCGGUGAGGAUGUGGAGAAAUUGAACCCUCAUGCAUUGCUGGUAGGCAUAUAAAGUAGUGCAGCUGCUUUGGGAACCAUUUUGAAGAUUUCUCAAAAAGUUAGAUAAAUACAGUUAGCACAUGUCCCAGGAAUUCCAGUCCUAAGUGGGUACCCAAGAGAAAUGAGAACAUGCAUGCAUACAGAAACUUUGUACAUAGCCAAAAAGUGGAAAUCCAGUUGUGUACAAGCUAAUGAGUGGAUAAAGAAAAUGAAGUAUAUUUAUAUAGUAGACUAGUGUUCAGCACAAAAAGAAAUGAGGUGCUGACACAUGCUGCAAUAUAGGUGAACCUCGAAAACAGUAUGCUAAGUAAAAGAAGUCAGUCACAAAAGGCCACAUGUUGUAUCGUUCCAUUUAUAUGAAAUUUCCAGAAUAGUACUCCAUAGAGACAGAAAGCAGACGAGUGAUUAUCAGGGGCCGGGGAAAUGGGAAGUGACUAAAGGUAGGGAGGGGUGGCUCUGGGGUGAUGAAAAUUCUCUACAAUUAAUUCGUGGUGAAAGCUGCAGAAUUCUGAAUAUGUUAAAAACUACCAGACUGUACAUUUUAGAUGGGUGAUUUUGUGGUAUAUUAAUUGUAUAUCAAAUCUGUUUGUUUGUUUUAAUAAAUGACACAUUGGGAGAGUC